rnacentral:rRNA from 1 species
CACCGGCUAACUCCGUGCCAGCAGCCGCGGUAAUACGGAGGGUGCGAGCGUUAAUCGGAAUUACUGGGCGUAAAGGGUGCGUAGGUGGUUGAUUAAGUUAUCUGUGAAAUUCCUGGGCUUAACCUGGGACGGUCAGAUAAUACUGGUUGACUCGAGUAUGGGAGAGGGUAGUGGAAUUUCCGGUGUAGCGGUGAAAUGCGUAGAGAUCGGAAGGAACACCAGUGGCGAAGGCGGCUACCUGGCCUAAUACUGACACUGAGGCACGAAAGCGUGGGGAGCAAACAGGAUUAGAUACCCUGGUAGUCCACGCUGUAAACGAUGUCAACU